rnacentral:lncRNA from 10 species
GAACUCACUCUAAGGAGAGAAGAGACCAGACAUAAAGACUUGAUCAUUGGAAGAUGGUGAGGAUUCUGAAUAGAAUAGAGUGGGUUUUGCUCUAAUUUUGUAUCAGUCGGGGGAUCUCAAAGAUGAAACCAAGGAUCCCCUGAAGUCAGGACAACUUGAGGAAAGUUUGGGAAUGUUUUACAAAGGGCUUCUGAUAUUCUGGAGAAACCAGUGUUAUCUGAGUGUUAAAGCUCAGUUAUUAAUCCUUUCUCAGAGUUCCGGGAUAAUGUUAUUGGCUUUCAAGCAUGUGAUGCAUCCCAAGAGAGCUGUUGACUUCCAGUCUGACCAAAUUCUUUCACGUUGUGGCGUGUACGAUGUAUAAACGUUUUGGAAUGCCUCUGAGACGACUUCUGCCGGUGAGUCUUUCCUCUGAGUGUCUUUGGGGCUAGAACAGUCAUGUCCAUUUCAUUGUUGAUUAGGUGUUCGUAUAAAAAAGAAUUUUUAAAUGCUUUACUUAACAGCUCUGAUUAACACUGAGUAUUUAGAUCCUGAUGUGUCAGUUAUAGACAUUUAAUCUCUCAUCAUUAAAUAUUUCUGCCUCUUUCACUGAAUAGAGGAGGAUGUAUGUGAGCAACAUAUGGGUGGAGUUGAUCUGAACAAGAAUUUAGGGAGGAGAAAAUUAUACGAUCUCUAAUUUUUUUAGGGAGAGGCUGAAUCUACCUCACUAACUUUUAUUAGGCUUGGCUCAAAGGCUCCUAUCUGUUCAUAGACCAUCCCAGUUUGG